rnacentral:rRNA from 1 species
UACAGAGGGUGCAAGCGUUGUUCGGAAUUACUGGCGUAAAGCGUGCGUAGUCGGUAUUGAGAGUCACGGGUGAAAUCCCAGGGCUUAACCCUGGAACUGCCUGUGAGACCUCAGUACUAGAGUGUGAGAGGGGAUAGUGGAAUACCCAGUGUAGCGGUGAAAUGCGUAGAGAUUGGGUGGAACACCGGUGGCGAAGGCGGCUAUCUGGCUCACAACUGACGAUCAGGCACGAAAGCGUGGGGAGCAAACAGG